GUUCAUUAUAGGAAGUCUUUGAAGGAAAAAUUAUAUUUGUAUGAAAAGGAAUAUUUUUUAGCCAUGUUGGAGAGAACAAAGAUCUAGGGAAUGGGCUUGGGGACAUUGACCCAGAUAUGAAAAUGCAGGCAUAGCGAAUUCAAUGAUGUGCAAAUGAGUAGCUGAGUUUUCCUCCCGUCCAUUCCUCUCUGCAUAUUGAGGAUGUUCCAGAACCCCAGCCCUGUGGUCUCUAAUCCCAGGGAGGGAAGUCUUAUGCUCUAUGUGCUCAUUUGCCAUGUUCUAGUUUUUGAUUGAUUAUUGUUGGCUACUCUUGCAGUGUGAUGCUGUCAUCUUGUAAGACCAAUGACAACAUCACAAGUUAUUUGGUUAUUUCAAACUCACAUUGUUUAUUUGAGGUUCUAAAGAAGUUACUAGCCAUGUUGAGAUCAAAAAGGGUAAUUACCAAACCACUGGUAGUUUAUUGAUGUCUUAUCAGAUUCUAAAAAAGGGCUGGAAAAAAACCAGUGCAGGCUUUAUUGUACUCUCGCGCUAAGUUUUAUGAAGGUUGAUUAGGUAAUAAAAUGAAGUUUGUAUUCACAUAGAAUUGUAGACUCAGAACGUAAGCAGUGAUGCUCAAAGUGAGGCCCUGGGACCAGCAGCAUCUACCUCGCCAGGUAACUUAGAAAUGCACGUUCUCAGAUCCCACCCCAGGCCUACUGAAUCAGAAAUUCAGGGGCUCCGGAGAGGUGAGGGGUCAUCUGUGUUUCCACAAGGCCCGUGCAGGGGAGUCUGAGGCUGACUAGAGUGUCAGAGAGUGCUGUGUAUUGGUUCUCAACAAUUUCUCCCCUGAUGUUAACCUUCUUCCUGGUAUAUCCUGUGUGUCUGCAUGUUGGACUCAAUCAGGUCUCACCUUUGCUUUCAUCUACCCUUGCUAGGAAACAGGAUGUAAUCUCUUGAAUUGGGGAGAGAGAAGUUCAGAAUGUGUCUAUGCUGAUGACAGUGUUGGAGACAAUGUUAACUCUUUUCUAUGCUUCUUAAAACUGCUAAGAAACUCUAAGUCUUAUAUAACAUCGAAUUAGUUAGUUAAUCAAGACAUUCCUCCUAUGGAGUACAAAAGCCUUCUUAAAAAGCGUCCUGCAAAAGAACCACCCAGGAAUGUUUGGGGAUUUCUGUGUACCAGGCCCUAGAAAAGCCAAACCCAGGGAGACCACUCCCAAAUUCUGGAGCUCUUUCAGACCGCUCAGACUCUUUACACUACACCAAAAAUAAUUUCCAAUUAUUCCAGAGUUCAAGAAUUGAAUGACUUAAUAACAAGCUCUUCCACCUGGAUUAAGGUAUCAGAC
rnacentral:lncRNA from 1 species